rnacentral:lncRNA from 1 species
CAGCUUUCCAGACUACAUAUCUCCAAGAAAAAUCUUGGAUUACUUUAAACAUAUCAUUUAAGAAUCUGAAAAAUGUUCUUACCUUAAACAAUUUAAACAAAUGCGAUUUUGUGAGUUUUUUGAUUGAUAUCGUCUCAGUGGACUCAAGGACAAUCUCACUUUCUCAUCCAUCUCCUUGUGAUAAAAUGACAGGCAUUUCAAGAGAUAAGAGGCAGGCUGCUGCCCACUCAAAAGUAUCAUUCCACCCAUCAGACAGAGCUCCCAAAUUAAGGAUCGUAGCAAUUACACACAAGCAACAGCAUGGAAAAGAAGCCAGUGCUGCAGAGGUGAUCUGGAUCCAGGAAGAAAGGGAAGAUACCUUCAAUCAAAAAUUUCUGGAGUUACAAAUGCAUUUCAACAAUGAUCAAGUCAUGCUGCAACAGGCACAGAGAACAAAUAACUGCAAGAAGAAAUUGCUGAACUUGGGUCUGAAAUCCCAGCAUUAACAAAAAAGGUGAGAUCAAUAAUGUUCAAAUGGGCGAGCUGAUGACAAAUUUGAGAUAACUCCAUUGUGGAUUUCAUACCUGCUGUUUUAUCCUCAUUCUUCACAGAACACAUGACAAGUUGGUAUUAUGAAAAUCAUUAUAAAACAAUUACUUGCCAUUUCUAAUUAUGUAAUAUUUGGAAAAUGUCCAGAUGUAAAUGUGUCAUGCUUCUUUUUUUAACUUUUGGGCUGUAAAAUAAUUAAGAAAGAUGAAAUUGAAUUAAUGUAAUAAAACACUAUUUGACA